UACGAAGGGGGCUAGCGUUGCUCGGAAUUACUGGGCGUAAAGCGCACGUAGGCGGCUUUGUAAGUUAGAGGUGAAGGCCCGGAGCUCAACUCCGGAAUUGCCUUUAAGACUGCAUCGCUAGAAUUGUGGAGAGGUGAGUGGAAUUCCCGGUGUAGUGGUGAAAUGCGUAGAUAUCGGGAGGAACACCAGUGGCGAAGGCGGCUUCCUGGCCUGUUCUUGACGCUGAGGCGCGAAAGCUAGGGGAGCAAACGGG
rnacentral:rRNA from 1 species